UACGUAGGGGGCAAGCGUUGUCCGGAUUUAUUGGGCGUAAAGAGCGUGUAGGCGGCCAGGUAGGUCCGCUGUGAAAACUCGAGGCUCAACCUCGAGAUGUCGGCGGAAACCAUCUGGCUAGAGUCCGGAAGAGGAGAGUGGAAUUCCUGGUGUAGCGGUGAAAUGCGCAGAUAUCAGGAAGAACACCAGUGGCGAAGGCGACUCUUUGGCCUGUAACUGACGCUGAGGCGCGAAAGCGUGGGGAGCAAACAGG
rnacentral:rRNA from 1 species